rnacentral:tRNA from 1 species
ACUAUGGCUCAGUUGGUACAGCACUUACCUAGUAUGCAUGAGGUACUGGGUUCAACCCCCAGUAGU